rnacentral:rRNA from 1 species
GUGCAGCAGGCGAGAAUUUUUCACAAUGGGGGCAACCCUGAUGGAGCGACGCCGCGUGGAGGAUGAAGGCUUUCGGGUUGUAAACUCCUGUCAUUUGAGAACAAGUGUAGCCAACUAACUAUUGGCUACUUGAUAGUAUCAGAAGAGGAAGGGACGGCUAACUCUGUGCCAGCAGCCGCGGUAAUACAGAGGUCCCAAGCGUUGUUCGGAUUCAUUGGGCGUAAAGGGUGCGUAGGUGGCGCCGUAAGUGGGGUGUGAAAUUUCGGAGCUUAACUCCGAAACUGCAUUCCAUACUGCGGUGCUUGAGGACUGGAGAGGAGACUGGAAUUCAUGGUGUAGCAGUGAAAUGCGUAGAGAUCAUGAGGAAGACCAGUGGCGAAGGCGGGUCUCUGGACAGUUCCUGACACUGAGGCACGAAGGCUAGGGGAGCGAACGGGAUUAGAUACCCGUGUAGU